GUUCCGCCGCCUCCAUCGCCGGUUGUGUUCGCGAGAGGCGAACUCAGUUUCCCAGGUGGCGCAGCGGCAGCCAGUCCAAAGUCGGACUUUCAAAACCAACCCGAAGUUUUGAACCCGGCGGCGGCAGUUGUCACUGGCACAGGUUUGGCGUGGUGGCGCCAGUGUACUGCUUCUGGGGAGGUCUCGACCAGGUUCUGGCACCUUCAACCCCCACCUGAUAUCUGCGUAUCAUCAGGGUAUCCCGCUUUCCCCCCAGUUCCCCAAGAGCGUCCUUCCUUUCCCUAGUCCCACGAUCGCAGUUUUGGUCUGAUAGUGCAUCCCCCUACUCCAAGUUGCAUCCCCACUACCCUCUUUCCAUCUAACGUGGUGGCCUUUCCUGGGCUGUACCUUGGGUAUCCCCCGCUGAGAGAGUAAGCACAAGACACCAGGGAGCCAGACCCCUGCCGCUCCCCUGCCACAGGAUAUGAGUAGGAGCCUCAGCUGGUUUGAGCAGCUGGAUGUGCUUCUCAACACUAGUGAUGGAAAUGUGGCCCGGAUUAAGCAGUGGCUGUAUCCUCUUGGGGUCUCCAACUCAGCUUUGAAUUCAGUCUUCUGGACAGUAACAGUAGCUGGGAACUUUUAUGGAAGCCAGAUCCCCAGAGGAGCACCCUUUCUAUACUGGAGCCCAGAAGCUUUCAGCUCCAUGCCCAGAGUCUUAAGCAAGAGGGCCUGUUCCUUUGGGGCCCCAACAUGCUCCUGA